UCUCCGUAGGUGAACCUGCGGAGGGAUCAUUACAAGUGACCCCGGUCUAACCACCGGGAUGUUCAUAACCCUUUGUUAUCCGACUCUGUUGCCUCCGGGGCGACCCUGCCUUCGGGCGGGGGCUCCGGGUGGACACUUCAAACUCUUGCGUAACUUUGCAGUCUGAGUAAACUUAAUUAAUAAAUUAAAACUUUUAACAACGGAUCUCUUGGUUCUG
rnacentral:misc_RNA from 1 species